CACUACAUAUGAUUUCAACCUUCUUGGAAAGACAUGUUUAUGCAAACCUGAGUGGGUUUGGCGUGGAGAAACAUUCAUGGCAAAGAAAAUUGAAUAUUAUCAUAUAAAGAAGCAGAUUGAGUCUGAUUUUGUUGAUGGUGCUAAUGUGAGGUUAUCAAAAUCUUUUCUUGACCUGCCCAAGGUAGAGCAACAAUAAAAGCUGAAAUACCGUUUAAAGAAAUACUGCCAGAAGGUUGGUAUUU